AGGAAGAGCUGGGCACAACUACACACGUAACCCACAAUGUGUUUUUUGAGCUUUCCACUGCACUAGCCUGUGAACCUGCUCCUGUGGAUUGCCAAGUCACAGAUUUGCAAGGUAGAGAGUACGACUUGGGUGACCUCAGUCUGGAUGACAAGUAUUAUGUUCCUCUGGACACGACAGAUCAGGCCCGCGUUCAAAAGUUUUACAUCAACGUGUGCAAACCGCUGCCUCGCGUCCAGGGCUGCCCUGCUGGAGCGAUUGGAGCAUGUGGCCAGCUGAAAGGCAGAGGUGUAAAUCUGGGAUAUGUGCAGUCCAGCCUGCAGGCAGCAGCAGAUG